rnacentral:rRNA from 1 species
GGCUUGGGUGCUAAGGUCCAAGUCCGAGAGGGAAAGAACCCAGACCUUCAGCUAAGGUCCCUAAAUCUAUACUAAGUUGAACUAAGGCGGUUCAGUUGCUUAGACAGCCAGGAUGUUGGCUUGGAAGCAGCCAUUCAUUUAAAGAGUGCGUAACAGCUCACUGGUCGAGCGACAGAGCAUCGAUGAUGAUCGGGCAUCAAGUAUAGUACCGAAGCUAAGGCAGUAUUUUAUACUGGGUAGGGGAGCAUUCUAUAGGCGGUGAAGCCAUCUGGUAAUGGGUGGUGGAGCGUAUAGAAAAGCAAAUGUAGGCAUAAGUAACGAUAAGGCGGGUGAGAAACCCGCCCACCGAUAGACUAAGGUUUCCUGAUCAACGCUAAUCGGAUCAGGGUUAGUCGGGACCUAAGGCGAACCCGAAGGGGGUAGUCGAUGGACAAUUGGUUAAUAUUCCAAUACUGGCAUAUUCAGCGAUGGGGUGACGGAGUAGUGAAAGAUCCGCGAACUGACGGAAUAGUUCGUUAAAGGGAGUAGGUAUUGGUUUGGUAGGCAAAUCCGCCAGACUAGCUGAACCUGAUAGUACCACAAUGCUUCGGCAGCGUGGAUAGUGAUCCUAAUCAGACUUCCAAGAAAAACCUCUAAGUAAUGUAUAUGGCACCCGUACCGUAAACCGACACAGGUAGUCAAGGAGAGAAUCCUA